UGCCAUGAAGACUUCAAUUUCUAGUACUAAUUGUCUUAACAGAACAUCACAUUGCUCGAGGUUUUCUGUUUUCUUUUUUGUUUUUCCAUAUGGAUGCUAGAAUGUUAGAAUUUGCCGAUAAAAUUGUAAAAAUGGAACGGCUUACUUCUAUAUUGUGGAAUGAGAAAAGGUGCAUUUUAGCCCUUAACGUUUUAACACAAUGAGUAAAUUGGUCUCUAAUCUAUUUUUUGGAAGAAAUAACAGUAAAAACUAUAUUUUUGUGUGGUUUUAACACCUCAACAGACAAAAGUAUAAACUGUGAUUAGUUGAAAAUGAUGUGGUAAAUUUUUUGACUUUUAUUUAAAGUGGAUCUCAUUUUAGUGCAUAAAAUCACUUAAAAUUAUAAAAUUAUUAAUUAUAAAACACUUAAAUUUAUGUUUUCUCUUUUAAUAGUAUAUUCAAUUUUUUUAUUUUUUCUAACUUAUUCAAUCAACCAUGGUUUUUUUUAUCCACCAUUCCACCACCAUCCAUUAUCACCACCGUCUCUCCACCAUCUUUGGUGUUGCUUUAAGACCAACUGCCACCACAAAGCACUAUCACAUCUCAUUAUCACCAUCAAAGUAACCAACAACGAACCAACAUAUUUUAAUUUUAUUAAAUUUCUCAAAUACCUAAAGUGCUCUAUCGUUCAUUACUUUCUUCAUUGCAAAUGCAAGACUCAAUAUUACUGUCAAAUGAAGCUUUUCUGGAACUGCAACAAUAGUUAUAGUCACUGAAUCUGCAUUAAGCUCCACUUUCAAUGGUAUCUCAUUUUUCUCUGUUUCACUCAAGAAGGAACGCUUUGAUGCAACAUGAAGCUGAAAGGAUGAUAUUUGAUGAGUUUUCAUAGAGAUUGAUGCUUUGGAGAAUUUUGGAUAAAAUGGAGAAAAGAUGGCAGAAGAUCACUUCAGUUAGAGCGUGCCCGCGGCAUAUUCUAGAAAUCCGAAUUUGGGAAAAGAAGCUUAAAGUGAUACUAUUUGCCAUGUGACUUUUUAAUUUAUUUUUGGGAAUGUUUAUUUACUAAAAACCCCUCACAACUUAAGGUUAUUUUAGGAAUUCUUAGGGAUCAAGUUCUUCUAUAAAAAGAAAAAGAUGAAAAAGAGAAAAGGAGAGUUUUUUUUAGGUUUGAAGAAAAGGGGGCUACAAACUAGUUUUCUUCCUAUCAUCCAUUGUUUUCCUUCUUUGCUUUAUUUUCUCUACAACAAUUAUGUGUGGCUGAACUCUUUUCUUUCCAACUCAAGAUUAAUUAAGGAACUUAUUUUUGUUGGAUUCGACACCCAUCACAAACACUAGAGAAAGACAAGUUGUGCAAGUUGUUGCUUCAAUGACAACGAGGACGAGCCGAACAACGAUGAGCAUCAAAAAUGUCGUAGAGCAUCAACGCCGUCGCAAAGAAUCAAUGUCAUCGCAAAGCAUCAAAGUUCUCGCGGAAAAUCAACAUGGACGCAGGAUUUUAGAGGAAGAAUAGAAGAAAAAUGGCACUUUUUGAAUACUUAGGAUUUAAUAAAGAAGAAAAAGGAAAUAGAUUUUGGGGAUUCAAUGGAAAUAGGGAAGAUAACUUCUUUUUUCCCUUCCUUUUAGUUUUUGUUUCUUUUAAUUAAUAAAAAUAUUACAUUUAAAAAAUUUAAUUAAAUAUUGAUGAAACACUCCUAAUGUCAGUUUAAUGGCAACUUUAUUAGCCAUGUCAGGGAUAAAUAAUGAAAGUUCAUUCUGUUUAGUUUUCA